GCAAACUUGGUCAUUUAGAGGAAGUAAAAGUCGUAACAAGGUCUCCGUUGGUGAACCAGCGGAGGGAUCAUUACCGAGUUAUUCCAACUCCCAAACCCACUGUGAACCUUACCUCUACGUUGCUUCGGCGGGGUCGCCCCGGGCCGCUCGAGCCCGGAACCAGGCGCCCGCCGGAGGCCCCAAAACUCUCCAUGUUUCUUCUCUAGCGGAAUACUUCUGAGUGGCCCUCAGCGGCAAAAACAAAAAUGAAUCAAAACUUUCAACAACGGAUCUCUUGGUUCUGGCAUCGAUGAAGAACGCAGC
rnacentral:misc_RNA from 1 species